rnacentral:rRNA from 1 species
UACGUAGGGAGCAAGCGUUGUCCGGAAUCAUUGGGCGUAAAGCGCGCGUAGGUGGCCCCAUAAGUCCGCUGUGAAAGUCCAGGGCUCAACCCUGGAAUGCCGGUGGAAACUGUCGAGCUAGAGUCCGGAAGAGGCGAGUGGAAUUCCUGGUGUAGCGGUGAAAUGCGCAGAUAUCAGGAGGAACACCAAUGGCGAAGGCAGCUCGCUGGGACGGUACUGACGCUGAGACGCGAAAGCGUGGGGAGCAAACAGG